rnacentral:rRNA from 1 species
UACGAAGGGGGCUAGCGUUGUUCGGAAUUACUGGGCGUAAAGCGCGCGCAGGCGGCUAUCCAAGUCAGUGGUGAAAGCCCGGAGCUCAACUCCGGAACUGCCAUUGAAACUGUUUAGCUUGAGGACGAGAGAGGUGAGUGGAAUUCCCAGUGUAGAGGUGAAAUUCGUAGAUAUUGGGAAGAACACCGGUGGCGAAGGCGGCUCACUGGCUCGUAUCUGACGCUCAGGCGCGACAGCGUGGGAUCAAACAGG